AUCAUUAAUGAUUGAUUUGACGACCGAUAAGGUAAUAAAUAAAGCUUUCGCCGUUCGAAAAACCUUCUCAACAAACAUCAAAGUUGAAGAACGACAGAUUCCCGUAGAGAUAAUUAAUAAAGAUGAUGAAAUCUUACAGCGGGGUGAUAUUUUCUUUACUUUCGGUGAUGGUGUUCGCCCUCACUAUUCAGAUCACGACUCAGAGCUGUCGUGUACAGCCGCUUCUGCGCACCGUGGACUUUGGAGGAUGUCAAGUAUCAUUUGUUGUCACAGCAUGCAGAGGUACAUGUCUUUCAGAAGAAGUACAUUUGGGCCAAACCGUUUCACGCAAAUGCAAUUGCUGCAGAUCGGUGGGUAGAACGAUAACUAAAGCCAUAACUCACCAAUGCUCGACCAAAAAUCCAACCUAUGUAACUAACGUCACGAAAUGCGCAUGCGUAUCAUGUUCAACGAACGCUGGGAAGUGAAGAAACCGUAUGGAUGGCGAGAAAAGAAAAUGACAAGCAUUUAUUUAAAGAACUUUAAUCGUAUUAUAAGUUAGAGGAAACAUACAAUGUGCUGUAGCAUGCUAAAGCAAUAGCAAUUAGUUAUCCAAUUAGUUGUAAAGAAGGCUAAAUGUAUUUUUUAGAAAACUA